rnacentral:rRNA from 1 species
UACAGAGGGUGCAAACGUUGUUCGGAUUUACUGGGCGUAAAGCGCGUGUAGGCGGCUUGGCAAGUCGGGUGUGAAAGCCCUGGGCUCAACCUAGGAAGUGCACUCGAAACUGCUUCGCUGGAGUCUCGGAGAGGAAAGCGGAAUUCUCGGUGUAGAGGUGAAAUUCGUAGAUAUCGGGAGGAACAUCGGUGGCGAAGGCGGCUUUCUGGACGACGACUGACGCUGAGACGCGAAAGCGUGGGGAGCAAACAGG